GNUUUCNNAGCGCACAGGUNACCNCGGCGAAUUCUCUACGCUUAUAGCGUGACCUCACCCCCAAACUUUCAUUAGUGAUAUUAAAGGUAAGGCCAUAUCUAAUUGAUUUAAUUAAAAAUAAAUCAUAUCCGGCAUGUAAAAAUCCACAAUGUACAAAAAACGAGCCGUUACGGAAUAUUUUAUCUACAAAAACUGACUAAAUAAAAAUUUUUCACUAAUUGAUUAGUCAUAGCCAGCGAUAUACGCUAUGCGAAAAUGCAGAUGGCAAUGAGAUCCACUGCUUUCAUCUCCAUUAACAUCCCAUUACGCUUUUAUUAAGGAGCAUUAGCAUGUUCUCACCGCAGUCACGCUUGCGUCAUGCAGUUGCAGAUACGUUCGCGAUGGUUGUUUACUGUUCUGUCGUGAACAUGUGUAUUGAAGUUUUCCUCUCCGGAAUGAGCUUCAACAGUCUUUUUAUUCCANAUUGGUANCGAUUCCGGUGAACAUCUUAAUUGCUGGCAUNCGGNUGUACCGGACUGUUAUGCNCNCGGACNCAAAUUACCCGCGGCUGAAAAAAAUUGGNGGANUNCNGGNUAUGNACNUCC
rnacentral:rRNA from 1 species